rnacentral:sRNA from 1 species
ACUGCGCUUUCUGAUGACAAAAAUUAGGGUGCAAUAAAGGCAGCUUGCAAUUGUGGUUCUUCCCAACAAGAAAGGCAAACAAAGGUGGAGUGUCGAUAGCACUUAAAAUCUACAAACGGAUUAAAAGCCUAACAUUGAAUAGAGCUCUGUUCAACGUCGUGUACCUGCAGAUUAACCAAAAGAAAAAAACCGCGGAAUUUAAUUAUGAUGCUUCGUCGUCCGUCUGUCUGUCCGAGGUUUCGUGUAUUAAAUGUCGAUUGGGAAUACCAAGCCACGCUGGGUUAGCAAUGGCGCAAAAUCAGCGACUCCCUCGAUGGAUUGGAUGGGCGAUGGUGUGGCUUGUAGGCUCCAAUUCUUCAUGAAUUUUUAGGUUUAAGAUUUAUUUUCUUGCUUUAGAUUUUUAGUUAAUUGUUUUGGUU